CCUACGGGCGGCAGCAGUGGGGAAUAUUGCACAAUGGGGGAAACCCUGAUGCAGCGACGCCGCGUGAGCGAUGAAGUAUUUCGGUAUGUAAAGCUCUAUCAGCAGGGAAGAAAAUGACGGUACCUGACUAAGAAGCCCCGGCUAACUACGUGCCAGCAGCCGCGGUAACACGUAGGGGGCAAGCGUUAUCCGGAUUUACUGGGUGUAAAGGGAGCGUAGACGGUCCUGCAAGCCAGAUGUGAAAGCCCGGGGCGCAACCCCGGGACUGCAUUUGGAACUGUAAGGCUAGAGUGUGGGAGAGGCAGGCGGAAUUCCUAGUGUAGCGGUGAAAUGCGUAGAUAUUAGGAGGAACACCAGUGGCGAAGGCAGCCUGCUGGACGAUGACUGACGUUGAGGCUCGAAAGCGUGGGGAGCAAACAGGAUUAGAUACCCCAGUAGUC
rnacentral:rRNA from 1 species